AGAGUACAUAACAUAAUGAGCAGAACAUGGUGUCAUGUUGUGGAGCCAAGAUAGUGUGAGGAAUGUCGUCGGAAGAAUUCUUCCGGGUCGCAAGGUACGAUGUCCACAUUCAAUUAUGCACUUAUGGGUUAGUUCUGAGCAGUAAACAGUAUACAUCAGUAAAUUUUCAAACAUUCAACAUUGUGCAUUAACUUCACUCUGGCUGGUCCUGUCUAACUUAUUUGUGUCAGGUAGGUUAUAGAGAUCUUAGAGGCGUUAAAGAAAGAGAUAAAUAAAUUGAGUUAAUUUUGGUUUUGGCGGGGUCGUACAGGUUGUGGUGGGGUUGGUAAGUGUAAGUUCCAGUCUGGGUGCUGUGGGUUCACAGACCAGGUGUUGCUGGUUGAUUUGCCGUAGUAGAUGUGGUUCAACCUCUCAAUUUAUACUUUUGAGAAACCACUAAGUCCCACUAAAUUGUGUCCAGCCAGAGUUGUCAAACUAUGAAAGGAGUGGGGGGGGGGGGGGGUCCUCCAGAUCUGCAGAGUGGACAGACAUUCUAUCAUAUAGUCGCUUAGGGGAUGAGGUAGUGAGCGUGAGCAGCGCGGUCCUUAAAUACUUUACGUGGAAGGAGUGCAAUUGGGAGGGGGGGGGGUGUAUAGACCUUUUAAGUAAGUUGGUUGGGAGUUGGUGUUCUGGAGGCCUCAUCAGUUUUUAGGAAGUGUAGCCACGGGCUCCAGGUGCGUUCAUAGGUGUUGUAGGAGUGUGACCUCGAGUAGUGUAUUUCUUCUAAAAGGCGUAUGGAGUCAACCUUAUUGAUCCAUGUCCGGAUGGUGGGCGCUUCUGUUUUUUUCCAGUGGCUAGGGAUGAGGGCGUUUGCCGCUGUGAGAAGGUGGUUGGUUAGGGGUUUUGUGUUCUUGGGAAGUG